AAUCAUGGUGACAAUAUUGUUUACUCUUCACAAAAUUUUGGAGUGCAUAGUCUUUUCAAUUAAGGAAAAAUGACCUUUAGCUGAUAUUUUGUACUGACAUCAUGUUGCUAUGUAUGUCUAAUUACAUAGCAACUAUGCUUACUGCAAUUUUGUUUGGUAUACAAUAUUACUUUUCCUUUAGCUUAACUCGUGUCACCAACUAAAUAGUUUCAUUUUAGCAAUUGUAAACAUCAUUAAAUAGCUGCAAUAACUAUGUUGCUUUACUCAUGUCUGAAACAACCUAAUGAGGUUAUG
rnacentral:lncRNA from 1 species